rnacentral:rRNA from 1 species
UACGUAGGGUGCGAGCGUUGUCCGGAAUUAUUGGGCGUAAAGAGCUUGUAGGCGGUCUGUCGCGUCUGCUGUGAAAAUCCGGGGCUCAACCCCGGACUUGCAGUGGGUACGGGCAGACUAGAGUGUGGUAGGGGAGACUGGAAUUCCUGGUGUAGCGGUGAAAUGCGCAGAUAUCAGGAGGAACACCGAUGGCGAAGGCAGGUCUCUGGGCCACUACUGACGCUCAUGCACGAAAGCGUGGGGAGCAAACAGG